AGAACGAAGGUUCGUGGACGACGAGCGCGGAUCCCUUGGAAAGUGGAAACGUGCAUCAGAUACAAGCCGAGAGAUUUUAAGAACCAAUCCCGGACCCGGGCUUGGGAACGGAAGCGUAUAAAUUCAAAUCAAAAUGUAGCACAGAGCGGGAGCUGGAGUUACAAAAAUUGUUGGAGCAUAAGACCACAAGACAAGAAGCAAGAGAUUGCUGAUGUUGGGAGGUUAAAAGAAGUUACUAAAGUAGGCCAUGGCUUUUUUGUUGGAUGUUGAUAUGAGCUGUCAAGUAACAGUGACCUGCACGCAAUUCUAGCAAACAGUACUGGGGAGGAAGGAAGAAAUCACUACCUUAAAGCCACACUUUUUCCACAUUGGCAAUUCGCUCCAGAAACUCCGAAAGUUUUGAUAAAAAAAGAAACCAGCUGCCACAAAACAAUUCACCAAUAUGGCGGACUAUCGUGUAGCUUUCCUGUUUGAUGUUUGAUCCCUUUCCCCUUCAAACGAUACCUCUAUACCGAUGGAUCAUCCAAUGCAAACCGUUCUCAAGGCUCUAAUAGCGCUAUAAAUUGAACAAGAUUACAAUCCCACGAUAGAAAACUCA